AACAAGUUGCGAGAGUAUAAAAAUAAAAAUGUAUGUUAAAAUUUAUAUUUACCGGUCUAUCUUUAUCCAUUUUUAAAAUUCGCAAUAAUUAUUUGUCAGUUGCUGUCAAAUUUAAGCAAAUAUAUUCACAAUAGAUAUUGAAGCGUCGCACUUCGAGGAUAUUCGAUUACUUUACAAUACAACGAUGCGUAUUUUGGUCGGUUAUAAAACAACGACGUAGGUUAUAGUGCAAAGCGAGGUUAUGUUUACAAACAAAUAAUAUGGCUAACCUCGUACUUUUAAGGGUAGGUUACGAGAUAACCUGGUUAACUAAGCUAACGUGAGUAUAUGUGAACAUAGUAUAAUAUAAUAAGCACAUCUGUUAUUUUAUUUGCUUCGACGUGUUACUCUAUUGGUUAUCCAUGUGUUACCUCUAACAAAUGCAUAUGCUGAUAUAUCGGCUACUUGUUUUUACCAUAACCAAUUCCAAUUCAUUCAAAUAAAAUUCAGUGUUUUUAUAAUAUUUUUCUUUAAUUUAUUAAAAAUUCCUAUUUACUUGAACUAAUUAUUAAAAUUAAUUAACACCACAUACGUAUGUAUAUUUAAUUUAUAUAGAUAUACAAAUAUAUUUGUAUAUACACAUAGCCAAUAAAGUUUUCGUUCACCCGACACUAUUUUUUAAGUGAAGUAAAAACACAAUGUAAAUAGGUAAUUCAGUUAAAAUUUUCUACAUGUAUUUCUUCUUUAUACUUUUAAGUUCAAAAUGCAUAAACAAAAAUGUAUGUUCCUAUUUUCAAUUUUGUGAUAACGGGAUUUUAGUGUGAGGAGAAGUAAACAUAGGCACCAUUAAGUCUGCGUUAAAGGUACUUAUAUUGAAAGGAAAAUUGAUGAAAUUCAGGAUAUUAUAGCUGCCGCUAAAAAUAAUUUGAUACAUCCCGGAAUGUUAACAAAAGAAGAAAUAGAUGGGUUAGAUACUGAUUUUUAUAAACUGAAAGUAUACAAGCAGGAGGCAAUAAUAUUUGCUAUACAAAUCCCAAGAUGUUUUUUAAAGAAAAUGUAAAAUUAAUUACGUCAUCACCAAAUAAACAACAGUUGCAAAUAAAGAAAAUUAAUUAAUUGUAAUAAUAAAUAAAGAACACUAUGUGUAUAAGGAAAAUCCUGUAUUUAAAAAAUUAAAGCUGAGCAAGAAUUGUAUCUUUUCUGAUGAUUGUGAAUUUAUGAAUAAUAAUAGAUAGAUCCUUCGUUCAAGACCUUGUAAAUAAUAUCUUGAAGACCUGUGACCUUUCAUCAAGAUCGGUUGAGUAGUUCGCAAGAAAUCUUGACAACCGACUUUGAAAACAUAGUUUUGAGAAAAACGCGUUUAAAGUUUUAAGAGACAAUAAAAGUGCCUAUACCUGACCUCGAGCGUCCACCUUUUCAAGGCUGUAUCUCCGAAACUAUUAGUCGGAUCAACUUGAAAAUUUAGGACAAUAUUCUAGAGAUGUUAUAGAAUUUAAUAAAACAAAAAAUACAAUACAAAUACAAGUAAGAAUGCACAUAAUGAAAGUAUCAUUCAGUUUUUAGUUCAGUGUUUGUUCCUGAAGAUCCACAAUUACCAUUCACAAAUAUAUAAUUCGCAUGUCAGAAAACGAGAAAUUCGGGAAUAUCUUAACGCAUUCUUCGAUGCAGUAGUUAAGCUGAAAGAAAAAGUCGUUGCAAUUGGCGAUGAGCCACUAACAAUUUUUUUGUUGUUCAGUCUGUCGGCGUUGUACGAGACAUUUAAGUGUGCGGUUGAAACGCGAGACGAAUUCCCGAUGCCAGACGUACUUCGAGAAAAAUUCUCGAAAAGCAUAAGUCGUCAAAAGAGAACAACGCAGAAAACAAUAAUGUUCUUUAUAUACAGAAAAAAAAAUCAACCGUACGUUGAUCGAAAUUCGAUGAAUUCAAAGCAAACAAAAACUAUCGGUGUGGUAAAGUGAGAUAUUUGGCGAGAAAUUGCAAUACCAAAACACAAAAGCAAAACAUGAGUGUGAGUGUAGAAGGCGAAAGUGACAUUAAAUACAGAUGUUUACAGGCCCUGAGAGAAUAAGGAAAUUUGGACAGUGGUUGUAAUUACAUCUCGUAUGAGUGGUGUUGGUAAAGUGUGAACUACGGUAGACGUUCGUGGAAAGCAAAUCAAUUUGGACUUAGAAAACCUUUUGGAUGUGGCUCACUUAAGGACGAAUUUGCUCUCAGUGACGAUAAAAUAAUAUUGGAAGCCGAAUGGCGAAUGCAAAAAACAGCGUUUAUUUGUGGCAUUACAAAAUGAAAUAUGUUAACUGUUUGUCGCACGGGUUAAAAUUUAAACAAACUGAGAAAUCUGACUGUGAAAUUUGUGCUAGUGUAUAGCAAGUGCGUGCGGUUUUACAUAAAUGAGAAGGAAAUAGAGGUGACGAUUUACUUGAGAUUAGUCACAGUGACGUGUAUGGGGUAAUGCAGAGAGCGUCCAAUGGCGAUUAAAAACAUUUUGUAACAUUUAUUGACGAAAAGUCGAGGUGGUGUGAAGUAUUUUUCCUUUUCAUUUAAAACAUUUGACGGAGAAAAAAUUACAGCGUUGCAAUCCGACAAAGGCCACGAAUAUUGUAACGUUGAAUUAUAAUUGAUAAACUUUUAAAUUAGUGCGGCAACAACGGUAUCGCGGAACGUGAAAAUAGAACUCUUUUUUAGAUGGCCUGGUGUAUGAUCAAGCAUGCGGUUGCGUCUUCAUCAUUUUGGGCUAAAGCAGUGAACACGGCGUGUUAUUUUUGAAAUCGUUAUGUAACGAAAUCCGACAGUAGCGUAUAUGCAAAUAUUUGGUAGGAAAGCAUUUGUACCAAUUAUAUUCAAAGCUAAAAAGCGUGUUAUUAUAAGCCGUGAUAUAAAGUUUAUCGACAAAUCUGUUUUCCUACGCCGCUGUGUGCCCAAUUCAGCCCUCUACUGCCAAUAACUGGACCGCUUAAAGGUAGCACUCAUCCAGCAGGGGCCAUCUUUGAUCAACAGAGGACGAAUUGUAUUCCCACAGGACAACGCCAGGCCACACAUGUCUUUCGUGAUGCGCCAGAAGCUCCGGGAGCUCGGAUGGGAGGUCCUAAUGCACCCACCUUAUAGUCUGGCACCAAGUGAUUACCAUCUUUUUCUGUUUUUUAAAUGAUUUUUUGAAUAACAAACCUGAAACUAUUAUUCUCAUCAAUUGUGUGGUACGCCCACGCGACUUCCAUCGUCGAUAGAUUAAAAUCUGGUUUCUCUCCGAUGAAAAAAUCUGAUAUCAAUGAAGUUUGAAGACAAGCAUUUGCUGCCACUUUGUGCUUCUUUGUUUUCAAAUGAUAUUCAAUAUCAUUGCCUCCACCAGCAGUAACCGAAAAAGUAGCAUUAAUUUGUCGCAACGAACGUUGGAAUCGUCAUAAGUGACUCUCAAAUAAGGAUACUUUUUCUUCAAAUAAAACUGCUGAAAACACACUUUAAUUUCGACAUUUCACAACUUUGAAUGUUGAAUGAAAGUAAUGAGCGGUCAGUGAACAACGCUGACGUUUGCGCCAAAAUCCACUACAAAAUUCAAUACAUUCAAACCGAAUGUAGAAUCCAGAAAUAGAACAUACAGGGUGUUAUUAUUUCGAAAUGCACUGGUUAAACAAGUAAUUUUAUUUUCGCGCAAAUAAGUGAAAUUAAUUUUUUUCAGUAUACGCCUAAAUCAAAGAAAGUGGUACUUUCUCGAAAUGCGCUGCUAAUAUUAUUUUUUAAUUCUGCUAAAACAUGAAAAUUUUACUUUACCGCAAAUCAGUAAAAGUGAUGUUUGUAGUAUAUAUAUUCCAAUUGCAGUGGUUAUAUGAAUUUGUUAAUAAUACAAUAACAUGAAAGAUUUACACUACAUCAAAUCAGUAAAACUGAUGUUGCUCAGUAUCAGCCUAAAUCUAAGAAAGUCCUAUAUUUUCGUAAUGAACUGGUUAUAUGAAUUAGUUAAUAGUGCAAUAGCAACAAAAUUUUACUUUAGCGCACAUCAGUAAAAGUGAUUUUUUUAGCACAUAUAUUCCAAUUGCAAUGGUUAUAUGAAUUUGUUAUCACUACAAUAACAUGAAAAUUUUGCUUUAGCGCAAAUCAGAAAAAUUGAUGUUUUCUUUGGCUCAAAUCAAUAAUAUUGAUAUUUUUAUAAUAAAUUAAAUGUAUUUUAAAAUGAAAAUCAUGUAAAAUUGAUAUUUUUCAGAAUAAGACUAAAUCUAAAAAAGUGCUAUUUUUCCAAAAUGCACUGGUUAUAUGAAUUAGUUGAAAGUGCAAUGGCAACAAAAUAUUACUUUAGCGCAAAUCAGUAAAAGUGAUUUUUUUAGCACAUAUAUUCCAAUUGCAGUGGUAAUAUGAAUUUUUAAAUACUGUAAUUACAUGAAAAUUUUUCUGUAGCGCAAAUCAGUAACAGUUAUGUUUUUCAGUAUAAGCUUAAAUCUAAGAAAGUGCAAUUUUUAAGAAACGCCCUUGUUAUAUGAAUUUGUUAAUACUACAUAAACAAGAAAAUUUUCCUUUAGCGCAAUUCAGUAAAAUUGAUGUUAUUCAGUAUAAGCCUAAAUAAAAGGAGUUGGUAUUUUUUCGAAA